ACGUCUUCAUUAAUCGCACCAUUCCUUGAAUCAUUCUCAUGCCUCAUAUAAGGAUUCAUCAUCCAAUUGUUAGAAACUAGUUAUCUCAUUUCGCAACUU
rfam:Gossypium arboreum cultivar AKA8401 contig_65474_1, whole genome shotgun sequence.